UAAAUACUAAGUGAGAAUCACAAUCAAGCUGGUCAAAAUUCGAUACAAAUGUCUUCGUGGAGUUCAGAUACGGAAAAUAACAGUUACCAAAGCGAUGACUGCCUGAAAUUAUAUUCCUGGGCCGUAUCAAAUCGAGUGAAAUCGAUGAAAACACCAGUGAAGCGUGGUCAACGUCGUGCGCACAAAUGAUCGGCGCUGCUUGACCAUAUAUUAAUGAACCAUGCAGUGACCGACGAAGAUGGCUCAAACGUUACCGCGAAAAAAAGCAAUCACAACGAACGUCUUAAGCAAUUACAACAAAGGCUUGAUAGUUCAGAAAAAUUGAGUAAAUGGUAAAUAUCUCACUCUGAUUUUGUUGCGUGACUUGACCUUGUGUUGUAAAUUACAAACUAUAAUAUUUCAUGUGUAAACGUGGCAAUUGUCGCAUUGAACUGCUUCGUAAAUUAUGCUAAAGAGUGUCAAUGUUGUAUGGAAAUUGAGGAGUGCGUCGAUUCUCUACACAGUGACAUUGUGAUUUGUGAUGCAAGAAGCUGAAGUCGCGCCAUCAUGUAUAAUUCAACAGCUAUGGCUAGAUAAGUGAGCUCUCCGUUCAGCAGCCACGAAAUUACGAACAAGAAAGAAACAGGAAUACCGUCAAACAAGCACAGAAGAUAGGUAAAUAAAGUUUUAUUUAUCAACAUAUUGAAAUUAAGAAACACUUUACCGUACCCGAGUUUACUAUCAGUGAACACACGCAUGCGGUACGGUAAC
rnacentral:lncRNA from 1 species